AUUGAACGCUGGCGGCAUGCCUUACACAUGCAAGUCGAACGGUAACAGGUCUUCGGAUGCUGACGAGUGGCGAACGGGUGAGUAAUACAUCGGAACGUGCCCGAUCGUGGGGGAUAACGGAGCGAAAGCUUUGCUAAUACCGCAUACGAUCUACGGAUGAAAGCAGGGGACCGCAAGGCCUUGCGCGGACGGAGCGGCCGAUGGCAGAUUAGGUAGUUGGUGGGAUAAAAGCUUACCAAGCCGACGAUCUGUAGCUGGUCUGAGAGGACGACCAGCCACACUGGGACUGAGACACGGCCCAGAAUCCUACGGGAGGCAGCAGUGGGGAAUUUUGGACAAUGGGCGCAAGCCUGAUCCAGCCAUGCCGCGUGCAGGAUGAAGGCCUUCGGGUUGUAAACUGCUUUUGUACGGAACGAAAAGACUCUUUCUAAUAAAGAGGGUCCAUGACGGUACCGUAAGAAUAAGCACCGGCUAACUACGUGCCAGCCGCCGCCGUAAGAC
rnacentral:rRNA from 1 species